AAACGCGUAGGAGUUUAAUUGAU
rnacentral:snRNA from 1 species